rnacentral:rRNA from 1 species
AUUGAACGCUGGCGGCAUGCCUUACACAUGCAAGUCGAACGGCAGCGGGGGAGAAGCUUGCUUUUCCUGCCGGCGAGUGGCGAACGGGUGAGUAAUACAUCGGAACGUGCCCUGUAGUGGGGGAUAACUAGUCGAAAGAUUAGCUAAUACCGCAUACGACCUGAGGGUGAAAGUGGGGGACCGCAAUGCCUCAUGCUAUAGGAGCGGCCGAUGUCUGAUUAGCUAGUUGGUGGGGUAAAGGCCUACCAAGGCGAGGAUCAGUAGCUGGUCUGAGAGGACGAUCAGCAACACUGGGGCUGGGACACGGCCCAGACUCCUACGGGAGGCAGCAGUGGGGAAUUUUGGACAAUGGGCGAAAGCCUGAUCCAGCAAUGCCGCGUGUGUGAAGAAGGCCUUCGGGUUGUAAAGCACUUUUGUCCGGAAAGAAAUGGCUCUGGUUAAUACCUGGGGUCGAUGACGGUACCGGAAGAAUAAGGACCGGCUAACUACGUGCCAGCAGCCGCCGUAA